UGCCUCCGGGAUGCCUUGGAAGGGCCUCCCCUGGCGGACCUGUGCCCUAAACUGUAUGCCUUGUACCCACCGCGAGUCCUGGUGCAGAACAGAUGCUCAGUAACCACUGGCAAGCAAACAGGGCCUCUUGUAGAAGAACAUCUGUGAACAAACCAAGAUCCGCCACCCUCCCCACACCCCGCCAACUUUGGAGCUUACAUUCUAGGAGGACACAGAAAAUAAUCAGUAAACAUAGUAAGUAAUGGAAUUAUGUCGGAAGCAUACUAUGAGCCAGGCAUGGAGAGAGCUGCUAAGAAUAAAGCACAGAGUGCCACGGUGUGGAUGGACCCAGAGGACACUGUGUGCAGUGACAGAAGACAGACACAGAAGGUAUGUCCUGUGUGACUCCACGCACAGGGGGUCCCUAGAGGAAUCCCAUCCAGAGCACUGGUGGGAUCCAGUGCUGGGACAAAGAGCGGGGAGUCAGUGUUUCAUGGGGACAGAGUCUCAGUUUGGGGAGAUGGAAAGUUCUGGAGACAGAUGGUGGGAGUGGCUGCAUGACAGUGUGAGUGUUGCCUGAUGCUGCUGAACUGUGCCCUUAAGAGUGGUUAAAAUGGUACAUUUAAUUUUAUGUAUAUCUCACAAC